UGGCAGGCCCACACCCCGCGAAACGGCGUUGCGCUCUUGAGUUGGACCGCUGGUCCUUUUGUAACAUCGUACUGCUAGAGAUUAGCUGAAGCCUGAGAGAGUGGUGGAUUGCUCCGGGAGGAACCGGUUGCGGCGUCGGCGGCGAUGGAGGCCUGCAGGAUCGACGAUUUCCCUACGGAUCUGGUUGCCAAUCUUCCAGGGGGCACCGCGGCCCGUAGAUCCCCGUCGAGAUAUGGGGAGCGAUAUUGGGAGCAGAGAUGGGGAUGUGCUACGGGAUUCAUCCGUGGCCGCGCACAACAACGGCGCGGAGUCCGACGACGACGGGAGCAAGGAAAAUGGUCCAGCGGAGUCUGGGAGUCGACCAUCAACCGGGAUAUGCGGUCGCCCGGCUGAAUUAAGAGAAUGGGAUUGUUGCGGAUCUGCGGUUGUGUGUUCUCUUCAACUGCCACACAGAUAAAAAGAUUUCAGUUAGGGGUGCUUUAUCGUUCUCCAUGCCCGGCUGGGUGGCUGGUGUGGAGGAGGUUGCUGGUGGUUUGGCAUGCCUUCUGCUACCUAGGUUCAUCAUGGUGCGGUCAGUCUGACCGUUCAACUUUUUUGUUUUGGAUUUACUAGAGGAGAUUACUGGAUCAAAAUGUGUGUUGGAACAAAAAAAUGUGAGACAAUCAAAAGUGUUUGGGUCCAAAUUUGUGUCUGAAUCUAUGGGUGCGUUAUCUUUCACGCAGAGUUCAUGUAGGCGCUAAUCCUACCGAAAGAAUGCCGCCUAGGUAGGACGGGAGCCCUCAAAAAAUCAAUAAGGGGCUUUGCGGAGCGAGACGAAGAUGAGGUUAGGCACCACAGCUUCGAAUGGGUUUUCAUGGAAUUUGUCAGGAUGAUGGGAGGUGUGGCACCGAAAGACCAUAUUGACAGAUCAGUGCAGAGCUAUGGAGGUAGAAAUAAGAAGCACACUACCGGAUACAGUGCAUCAAUGGUGUAAGUGGCACGUCGUGAAGAAGUCUAAAGAAAGUUUGGGGGCUCUGUACGGGAAGAGAAAUGAAUUUAGGCAAGAGGUUCAUAGAGUGGUUAACCACAUGCUAAUAGUGGACGAGUUUGAGAAAGCGUGGGAUCACCUACUAGAGAAGUAGUACAACUUGAGGACACACGCAUACAUGGCGCAACUCUUUGAGACAAGGGAGAAGUGGGCUAAGCCAUAUUUGAAGGGUGUUUUCUGUGCAAAGAUGAACAGUACCCAAAGGAGUGAAAGUGUGAACCAUAUGCUUAUGAACUAUGUGCCACCCGGCUCUCCGAUGUAUACAUUUUUUAGGCAGUACAUGAGGUUGCAGUUUGAGCGCCAAUCGAAUGAGACUUAUGAAGUGAAGAGAACUAAAACCGCAGGUGUAGUCCUAGGGACAAAUUCCUCGAUUGAGAUACAUGCCAGCAAGGAGUACACCCGUGCGACGUUCGAGCAGUUUGAAAUCCUAUACGAUUGGCGAACCGUAGGGAAAAAUGGAGCAGGGACGUAUGCCUAGCAAAAAUGAUUGACGGCGGAGCACGUUUUGAGAGAAAAUGUGUCCUCUUUGAACAUAUGGGGAUGCUCUGUCGUACCCACAUGUACUAUUCUCUCUGCAAACUAAUUGGUUUUGGCUGGCUAACCAACGUAAGGUGUACUUGCAGGUCAUGGAUAAUAUUGGAUGACAGAAAAUACAAAGAGACACGUAGUGAAAAGGCGGACAAAAUAUCCAAGAGAUAUUUUGCCGGAUCACUUGAAGCACUACCGGCUGGACCAGAUCAACAACACAUCCCUAACUUUUUGGCACAAUCGAAUGUACAUUAGGGUGUUGGAACUGGUUCGACUUGGAGACGCAAGUGUUGAGGCAUAUGAAACUCUGAUUGGGGCUUUUAGACCAGGCCAUGCCGGUGAUGGACCCUUUUGACAAAUGUCGUGACAGGCUAGGGCUUGGAAGACUGGAUAACAACAAUGUGGCAGAUACCGACGGGGAGCGAGCUGGGAGAAGUGUAUGUGAAGACGACGGAAUGUCAUGCAACAUGAAGUUUUGGAUUAGUGGCACCAAACAAGAACGGAAACGCUGGCAGAUCAGCAAUGCCUGAAACAAGGCGCCGUACGAGGGGAUGACCAAGAGAAGUAGGUUUUGCAGCAUUUGCAAAUCCCAGUGCCACAAAAGAACAACUUCACUGGAGAGAGGGGAUAUUCCUCAACCGAGGAAGAAAUCCAAAUGCAGUAAAUGCAGUGGUGAAGGGCACAGGAAGAAUACUUGCGAACGGCAAGCAAGGGAGAUGAAGUGAGUUGAAAGCUGGUAGUGUCAAGUGUGCUACUUAAGUUUUUAGUUUGAAACCGACGUGUGGCUGUGUUUCAGCUUGUGGUUAUGGUGUUUUUUUCUUCUUCUAAUUGUGCUAUAGGAAACUGACAUGUCAAACUGGUAGCUCUUUGAUGUUGUAAUGCUAGUAACUGCUCGUUCUUGUAGGCUGGUGCCGUGUCUGCAGCAUGGAUGGUUAGUGUAGCUUGUAGCCUAUGAAUUCAAAGUUUGAAUGAUCAAAACUGUUGGACUGGUGAAGUCCCCAGCGCAAUAAAUUUCUCUAUUCUGGCUUC